CAAGGAGGGUUUAAGUUGGAGCCUAGAUAUCAAAUAUUGUUCUGCUGCUGCAAGAAACAUUACAAACUUGAGUUGCCUGUCUUAAGAGUUAGGUAACAUAAAUACAGCUUGUUAGUUUUCAUUUUACCCUGCAGGCUCCACCAACAUGAAUGUCUAUCUGAGCAUGAAACCCACCUCGCUCCAGCCGUCCGUGCACUGAUCGGUCCCCACAGAGCAGCACGACGAGGGCAGCGUCCCAUUCAGAACAUCAAACCAGUCUGUUUUAUUGGUCACUCCACAGCAUUUAAACUGGGAGCAGAGACAAGAGGCGACAGGAAGAAACAGAGAGGAGACAGAGAGGAGACAGGGAGGAGACAGGGAGGACAGUCAGACCAUGAGGGUACAAUGUGAAAUCUCUGCUACAUUGAGGAAGAAAACAUCUGGCUGUAGAAAUAUGAAGAGGAUUGUGACAGUAUCGAGUCAGUGACGUGUUCAGUAUAACAGAUGUGGCUUCAGCAGGCAGCGCUGCUCCUUCAACACUCCCAGACACCCCAGGAAGCCUGUCACCAUGGUGAUGCCCCCUGCGACCAGCAGCAGAUUGGCGGCGGAUAGAGACGGGAAGGAGAGAGGAAGAGAGGAAAACUCGGCCUGCGUGAAGGAAAGCCACACGCCAACCCCGAACAAACCGCAUCCCCCCAGCUGAUCAGGAAACACAGAGACAGAGAGGACGGGAAGGAAAGGUCAGAGGUCAGAAAAAGUAAAGAGAAGAUAAUCCAAAAUUGUGA